rnacentral:tRNA from 1 species
ACCAACGGAUAUCAUUGACGGCUGAAUAGGACUUAAAAUCCCUGGCCGUUAAGGUGUGCGGGUUCAAGUCCCGCUCCGGGUACCA